AUUGAACGCUGGCGGAAUGCUUUACACAUGCAAGUCGAACGGCAGCACGGGGGCAGCCCUGGUGGCGAGUGGCGAACGGGUGAGUAAUACAUCGGAACGUGCCCGGUCGUGGGGGAUAACGUAGCGAAAGUUACGCUAAUACCGCAUACGAUCUGAGGAUGAAAGCGGGGGACCUUCGGGCCUCGCGCGAUCAGAGCGGCCGAUGUCAGAUUAGGUAGUUGGUGGGGUAAAGGCCUACCAAGCCGACGAUCUGUAGCUGGUCUGAGAGGACGACCAGCCACACUGGGACUGAGACACGGCCCAGACUCCUACGGGAGGCAGCAGUGGGGAAUUUUGGACAAUGGGCGCAAGCCUGAUCCAGCCAUUCCGCGUGCAGGACGAAGGCCUUCGGGUUGUAAACUGCUUUUGUACGGAACGAAAAGGCUCUGGCUAAUACCUGGGGCUCAUGACGGUACCGUAAGAAUAAGCACCGGCUAACUACGUG
rnacentral:rRNA from 1 species